AGCAACGGGGCUCACCUCUUCCCAUUCCGAACAGAGCAGUUAAGCCCGUUAGCGCCGAUGGUACUACAUACCGUGGAAGAGUAGGUCGCCGCCUUCU
rnacentral:rRNA from 1 species